rnacentral:rRNA from 1 species
UACAGAGGGUGCGAGCGUUAAUCGGAAUUACUGGGCGUAAAGCGCACGUAGGUGGCGACGUAAGUCGGGUGUGAAAGCCCCGGGCUCAACCUGGGAAUUGCAUUCGAGACUGCAUUGCUGGAGUACGGAAGAGGAGGGCGGAAUUCCCGGUGUAGAGGUGAAAUGCGUAGAUAUCGGGAAGAACAUCAGUGGCGAAGGCGGCUCUCUGGUCCAGUUCUGACGCUCAGGUGCGAAAGCUUGGGGAGCAAACAGG